CAGAGGGGGCAAGCGUUGUUCGGAAUUACUGGGCGUAAAGGGCGCGUAGGCGGCCUUCUAAGUCGAACGUGAAAUCCCCGGGCUCAACCCAGGAACUGCGUCCGAGACUGAAAGGCUCGAAUCCGGGAGAGGGAUGUGGAAUUCCAGGUGUAGCGGUGAAAUGCGUAGAUAUCUGGAGGAACAUCGGUGGCGAAGGCGGCAUCCUGGACCGGUAUUGACGCUGAGGCGCGAAAGCCAGGGGAGCAAACGGGAUUAGAUACCCCGGUAGUCCUGGCCCUAAACGAUGAAUGCUUGGUGUGGCGGGUAUCGAUCCCUGCCGUGCCGAAGCUAACGCAUUAAGCAUUCCGCCUGGGGAGUACGGUCGCAAGGCUG
rnacentral:rRNA from 1 species